UCCCUGGUGGCCUAGUGGUUAGGACUCGGCACUGUCAUUGCUGUGGCCCAGGUUUGAUCCCUGGUCAGGGAA